rnacentral:misc_RNA from 1 species
GAUGAAGAACGUAGCGAAAUGCGAUACGUAAUGUGAAUUGCAGAAUUCAGUGAAUCAUCGAGUCUUUGAACGCACAUUGCGCCCCCUGGUAUUCCGGGGGGCAUGCCUGUCGGAGCGUCAUUGCUGCCCUCAAGCACGGCUUGUGUGUUGGGCCUCCGUCCUCCUCCCGGGGGACGGGCCCGAAAGGCAGCGGCGGCACCGCGUCCGGUCCUCGAGCGUAUGGGGCUUCGUCACCCGCUCUUGUAGGCCCGGCCGGCGCUUGCCGACACAUCAAUCUUUUUUCCAGGUUGACCUCGGAUCAGGUAGGGAUACCCGCUGAACUUAAGCAUAUCAAUAAGCGGAGGA